GUGUCAGCCGCCGCGGUAAUACGUAGGAUCCAAGCGUUGUCCGGAUUUACUGGGUGUAAAGGGUGCGCAGGCGGGCUGGUUAGUCAGGAGUGAAAUCUCGGCGCUCAACGCCGAAACGUCUUUUGAUACUGCCAGUCUUGAAUUAGGGAGAGAUCCGUGGAAUUCCGAGUGUAGCAGUGAAAUGUGUAGAUAUUCGGAAGAACACCAGUGGCGAAGGCAGCGGGUUGGCCCUUAAUUGACGCUCAGGCACGAAAGCAUGGGGAUCAAACAGGAUUAGAUACCCUGGUAGUCC
rnacentral:rRNA from 1 species